rnacentral:misc_RNA from 1 species
GUGAAUCAUCAAAUCUUUGAACGCAAAUUGCACUCUCUGGUAUUCCGGAAAGUAUGCCUGUUUGAGGGUCAGUUAAAAUAAAAUUGGUGUUGGUGGUGCUUUUCGUGGUUACGCGGCGGGAUUGAGGUCGCCUACCUUUGGUUAAGUGGCGUAAAAUUUUGGAUUAUUUUGUUACGUCGUAUAUUAU